rnacentral:lncRNA from 1 species
ACAUUUGUUGUAAGGUUGUUGUUGUUGUUUUUUUUUUGUGAAAAUUUAUUUGUGCAAACAUGAUUGAAGGGAUGAGAAAAGAAUAAACAAAUUUAUUUACAUUUUGUGUUUGAAUGGAUGAACCCAUUGCCUACGUACCAUCUUAAAAAAAAGAUUAGGAUCAGAACCUCGUAGUUCGGGGUAAAAAAAUUCAAAAAGAGGUUGGUGAAUUGAUUGGUCCAAGAACCUUAAGGUCUUUUGUUAU